CCCUUAGAUGUCCUGGGACGCACGCGCGCUACACUGACACGAGCAGCGAGCUUCUUCCUGUUCCGAAAGGAUUGGGGAAUCUUGUAAAUCGUGUCGUGUCGGGGAUCGAUUAUUGUAAUUAUUAGUCGUGAACAAGGAAUUCCUAGUAAGCGCAAGUCACUAGCUUGCGCUGAUUACGUCCCUGCCCUUUGUACACACCGCCCGUCGCUCCUACCGAUUGAAUGCUCAGGUGAGCCAUUCGGACUUUCAUCAUGCUGGUUUCCAGUUUUGAUGAAGGAAAGUCUUGCGAACCUUAUCAUUUAGAGGAAGGAGAAGUCGUAACA
rnacentral:rRNA from 1 species